GCUAAUACAUGCAAGUCGAGCGGACAGAAGGGAGCUUGCUCCCGGAUGUUAGCGGCGGACGGGUGAGUAACACGUGGGUAACCUGCCUGUAAGACUGGGAUAACUCCGGGAAACCGGAGCUAAUACCGGAUAGUUCCUUGAACCGCAUGGUUCAAGGAUGAAAGACGGUUUCGGCUGUCACUUACAGAUGGACCCGCGGCGCAUUAGCUAGUUGGUGGGGUAAUGGCUCACCAAGGCGACGAUGCGUAGCCGACCUGAGAGGGUGAUCGGCCACACUGGGACUGAGACACGGCCCAGACUCCUACGGGAGGCAGCAGUAGGGAAUCUUCCGCAAUGGACGAAAGUCUGACGGAGCAACGCCGCGUGAGUGAUGAAGGUUUUCGGAUCGUAAAGCUCUGUUGUUAGGGAAGAACAAGUGCGAGAGUAACUGCUCGCACCUUGACGGUACCUAACCAGAAAGCCACGGCUAACUACGUGCCAGCAGCCGCGGUAAUACGUAGGUGGCAAGCGUUGUCCGGAAUUAUUGGGCGUAAAGGGCUCGCAGGCGGUUUCUUAAGUCUGAUGUGAAAGCCCCCGGCUCAACCGGGGAGGGUCAUUGGAAACUGGGAAACUUGAGUGCAGAAGAGGAGAGUGGAAUUCCACGUGUAGCGGUGAAAUGCGUAGAGAUGUGGAGGAACACCAGUGGCGAAGGCGACUCUCUGGUCUGUAACUGACGCUGAGGAGCGAAAGCGUGGGGAGCGAACAGGAUUAG
rnacentral:rRNA from 1 species